GGUUUUAAAGAGUUGGCCCCUGUCCCACCUCCUCUGGAUGCCUGGGUCUUCCCUGCAGCAGGAUGUCUCGCUCCACCAGCACUCUGCCCAAGUGAGGGAAGGAGGGCGGGCCACGUGGGCCUCGGGCACGGCAGCUGCGACAGAGGGAGAGACAGGCUGGAGCUGCUCGGGGUGCUCCAGGCUCACAGGUAGGAGCAUCCCUCUCAUCCUUCAAUCCUCCCGUGUGGUCUCAGCAUCUGGGCCAAACUCCUCCCAGCCCCUUCAGCUGAAUCCUUCCCCAGUGGUCACACUGGGCAGGAACAGAACGGCCUCUGUCUUCAUCACUUCCGUCUCCAAGCACCUUGCCCGCCCAGCGUGUUCUAGCUGCCGACUGAGACACGCCCACUUAUUCUACCAAUUCAGCGCACUCCAUUUCCGCUCAGAAACCAAAACUUAGUGGAGAGCCCCAGCGGCCGUGGUUCGCAGAAGACUCUCCCAUAAGAUGCACCGCCAUCCGUGUAGCUUGGCCUAACAAUAUGCCUGUUUUUAGAUGAAAAACCUCCUCUGCCCAACACGACCCAUCCCUUAGAGUUCAAAACCAAACUCACCUGGACCAAACCUGAGGCCACGUUGAAACAAGGUGCAGUGAGCUUUGCGCCUGGUUACGUGGUCUCAGUCCAGCUGAAGUGAGGCUGGGAACUGUGGUCAGCUGUGUACCUGGAGAGAUGAAUGGGAUGGGUGUCCAGUGUCCCCCACCGGCCCGGAUGCUGCCUCACCUUGGACAUGGUGAUAGAGGAGGUGUCAUGAACUGAUUUGGGCUAGGUGCUUAUUGAUUAUUCUAGUCUCUUCUAAGUAUUCUGAUACUGAUUCUGCUCCAGCAUCACCGGCGGGGCUGUGGCAGAUCCAGGCAGUGCCAGGUUUAUGGGCAUGUGCUGCACAGGUCCCAAAUGCAGAAGGGUCCUGGCACUUGAUUUAAUGCUAUGUGUUACCAUCUUGAAAUUUGUAAUAAUUUUGAACAAGGAGGUUUCAUUUCCUUUUUGUACUGGGAUCUGCAAAGUAUGUAGCUCGUCCUGAAGCUAAUGUAUUUUUGGGGUCCACGUGCUCAGGGGCCCAAACCUUGUACCUUUAGCACCCUCAGUUUCCCAGUCCAGCUCUGGGCCCUGGAAUUGCAUCAGCCUUGCUCUCAGGGGUGGGGGUGCAGGAGACAUGUAUUUCUCUGUGGGAAAUACAUGAGGUCUUGAGGUACCCAGGUUUCUGGGGAACAGGAGCAGAAGAGAGCAGCAUGGCUCUGGAUCACUCCAUAGACCCAGGGGCUUCUGCUUCAGAGGGCCCUUAACCUUCCAGCCCCGGGGAUGCACCCUCCUCCCUCAGCCCCUGCCAUCAUCUGGAAUCCCGUGGCCACAGAGUCCUGUAUCACAUUCUCCUUGGAUGCUGGGGUUUCUCGUUCUGAAGCCCUCUCUGCUGUGGGGCCUUUCCCAUGCUCUCAGGUGGCCUGUGGGAGAGAGGCCCAGCUUGUCAUCGUUCUGUGCAACCGACCCCAAGCCAACAUCCACCUUUCUUAGUGGCCAUGGAACACGUCUCACAAGCCUGCUUUGCCUCCUACACCGAUGGGCGCUAAACCUUCCCAAAUGAAAGACGUAGGCACUUACUUCUCUGUCCUGUGAAGUGAGCCACCAGUGUCACCCAUCCAAAGACAGAAAGGACUCAUUACUCUCAAAAGCCCCUGGCAUUGUGGAUUAUCUGGCUGUCAUCUUGCUUCUGUUGCUGUGAACUCUGAGGGUUGGGGGCUGCGGCUCCCAUCCCCUGUCAGUGAAACCCGCUGGGUGCUGUGCUGUGCACACCUUGACUGUCAGUGUGCAGGGCGUCCUGAGGCACGGGUUGCACUGGAGGACGGGAUGCCACAGCCACCCUGCCACAGCAUCAGAGGCCACUGCCUGGCCCACACAAGGGUGUGGGGGAGGUGUAGUCAUUUCAGCAGGAGGAGUCAUGCUCCUCAUUUUCAAGAAAGGGCCACCUGCUUUUGCAAAACCGAGGCGGAAGUCCAAACACAGAAGGAGCUGCCCAGUUGCACAUACAACUUGAUUGAUUUUGAAAGGAAAGCACGCCAUUGUGCUUCUGUUAUGAAUAAUGGUAAUUGAGACAUGACCUUCAUGAAAUUUCAGAAAAGGAUCCAAGUAGCUGUACAGUGCUGGUCAACUGGAAACACUGUAGACACUCCCAGAAGGAUCUGGGUUGCCACCUCAGGAAAGCUGCUCUGGGCUCCAGGGUGGGCUCCAGGAGGUGGCCUGGUAGACUUCUGCCUGACCUGUGAAAUACAACCAUAGAAACAAAAGGGUAUUAGCUUGUUUUCAUUUUCAAAAUUGAAUAUCUUAUCUCCAGGUUUGUUUUAUUGUUGUUGAAUUAAAAUACUUAGGGAUGUGAAUUCAAUAAGGUUCAUUUUUUUUGACACAUGAGAGGCAUAAGACCUCUUAUUUUUUUCUCAUAUUGUGCUUUAAAACAGAUUCCACCUGAAAUAAGUGAAGGAAAGGCUACAGUGGACUGCAGGCCUUCUCAGAGCCUUUAAAAUGUGAAUGUACUUUGGGAAUUGCCAAUAGAGUAAAACAUUGAGUAAUGUUUCCUAGGCAGAAUUCUUCUUUGGUGUGUAUCUAUGAAUAAUGCAGAUUUGGGUAGAGAAGAGUGGAGCCUACAGUGGCAUGGGAGUGAGUUUGAGUGAAUUCCUUCCCCAGGCAGUCCAGGGGUCCAGGAUUUGCUCAAGGGUGUUUGGGUUGGGAAACCAGAUCCUGCUUCUCCCUUCUGUUGCUGCAAAGGCAACUUAGUGCUCAAAUGUCUCCUUGGGGAACUUGGGUUGUAAAGCUUUCCCUGUCUGUCUGAUCUCCUGGGCUCUGUCACACAGUUGUUAUCACACAGGGCUUGAACUGCUCCACACCCUGAGGGAAUGGAGGGAGUUCUGCUGAAACCAAUCUCUCCUCUCCAGACCUUGUAUUUAGUGUAAAACUGCCCCUCCAACUCUGUUAGUCACAAGCAGAGGAGUCCUCAGCAGUUUUUCAUGAAUGAGAGGAGUGAUUGAUUCCCCUCAUGUCCUGCUGGGAGUGGGCUCUGGCCCUUGUUCCAGACAGGGCCUACAAAAUCCUCCAUCCUUCAAUCUAUGGGGGGUUUACCCUCAUACCCAUAUAGGAGCUGCUUGCUUCUGCCUCUCUCUGCCCAAGGAUAUCUUGAAAUAAAAAUAAAACCUGGUGAAUCUUGUCCUCUGGAGGUCAGGCAACUUCUGAUUUGAGCUCAACAAUAGGAAAAAUUGGCAUGCUGGGACAAAAAGUUCAGGUAUCAGAGAGAAGCAUGGCCAUCCUGUGGGAGAGGGAGGAAGAGAUGGCUCACUCCUACCAGACACCUAGUGAUCUGAAAACAAACCUAGAUUGAGUCAACACAGAUUAUUCACCACACAGAGACAAUUGGAAUAAACUAAUCAGCCUACCAAUCAACCUACCUACCAACCUACCAACUAGCCAACCAUUCUACCAACCAACUAACUAACCUACCUACCAACCAACCUAUCAACAACCAACCAACCAACCAACCUAU
rnacentral:lncRNA from 1 species